AUGAUCUCGUGGCAUGAUCUGUACACGGUGCUGACGGCGAUGGUGCCGCUGUACGUGGCGAUGAUCCUGGCGUACGGCUCCGUGCGGUGGUGGGGGGUGAUCACGGCGGACCAGUGCGCCGGGAUCAACCGCUUCGUCGCCGUCUUCGCCGUCCCGCUGCUCUCCUUCAAGGUCAUCUCCGGCAGCAACCUGUACGCCAUGGACCUGCGCUUCGCCGCCGCCGACACGCUGCAGAAGCUCCUCGUCCUCGCCUCGCUCGCCGUCUGGUCCCGCCUCCCCGUCCCCUUCGCCGGCCUCGACUGGUCCAUCACGCUCUUCUCCUCCGCGACCAUGCCCAACACGCUCAUCAUGGGCAUCCCGCUCCUCGUCGCCAUGUACGGCCGCCACGCCGGCGACCUCAUGGUGCAGAUCGUCGUGCUCCAGUGCAUCAUCUGGUGCACGCUGCUGCUCUUCCUCUUCGAGUUCCGCGCCGCGCGCCUGCUCAUCUCGGGCAGGUUCCCGGCCGCCGCCGUCGCGGACGUGCGCGUCGACCCCGACGUCGUGUCGCUCGACGGCAGCCACGCCGAGGCGCAGGCCGAGGUCGCGCCCGACGGGAGCAUGCGCGUCGUCGUGCGCCGGUCCGCGGCGUCGGUCUCCCGUCGCUCCCUCCACAACGGCGCCGCGGCGGGGAUGUCGCCGCCGCGCGGGUCGAACCUGACCGGCAUGGAGAUCUACUCGGUGAGCUCGUCGAGGAACCACACGCCCAGGGGCUCCUCCAGCUUCACCCACGGCGACUUCUCAGCGACCACGGGAGGCGGGGGCGGCGCCGCGCCCGCUCUGCCGCCGCCGCCGCCGCCGCACGGCGCGGUGCGCGCGUCCAGCUUCGGCGCGGCCGACCUGUUCUCGCUGCACUCGUCGCGGCAGCACACGCCGAGGCCGUCCGCCAGCUACGACGAGCACGCGCCGCGGGGCAGAUCGGCGGCGGCCGUGGCGCCGGUGGACGACCCCAAGGACAACGUGCACAUGUUCGACUGGAGCUCCGGCGCGUCCGGCGCGUCCGAGGUGAGCGGCCUGCCGGUCUUCCGCAGCAGCACCAAGGAAAGCGGCCGCCGGCGUGCCCCCUCCGACACGACGUCCAUCAACUCCGACUCCUCCAGAUCGAACCGGCCGGGGGCGACCGGCGGCGAGCGCGUCAAGUCCGAGGCGGCCACGCAGGAGUCGCUGGAGAGGCUGGAGGCCGGCACGGAGGCGGCGGAGAAGGAGCAGGAGCAGGAUGAGACGAAGAAGGACGGCGGCGAGGUGGGAAAGCCGCCGGCGAGCGUGAUGCUGCGGCUGAUCCUGACCAUGGUGUGGCGCCGGCUGAUCCGGAACCCCAACACGUACGCCAGCGUCGUCGGCCUCGUCUGGUCACUCAUCGAGUUCCGGUACCACGUCACCAUGCCGGCGAUCGUGGCCAAGUCCAUCUCCAUCCUCUCCGACGCGGGGCUGGGGAUGGCCAUGUUCAGCCUGGGGCUGUUCAUGGCCCUGCAGCCCAAGCUCAUCGCCUGCGGCAAAUCGGCCGCGGCGUCCACCAUGGCCGUCCGCUUCCUGCUCGGCCCGGCGGUCAUGGCCGUCUCCUCCGCCGCCGUCGGCCUCCGAGGCACGCUGCUGCGCAUCGCCGUUGUCCAGGCCGCUCUGCCGCAAGGGAUCGUGCCGUUCGUCUUCGCCAAAGAGUACAACCUCCACGCCGCCAUUCUGUGCACCGGGGUCAUAUUUGGCAUGCUAAUAGCUGUUCCGAUCGUCCUCCUCUACUACAUCAUCCUUGGGCUGCUAUGA
rnacentral:rRNA from 1 species